ACAAAGAUAUAUAGCUGACAAGAGGUCAUCAUCCUGUCAUGUCUACAGAUGGUUCUGCUGCUGCCAACACAAAUACAUCACCCAGAGCCCACCCACACAACAGACACAGUCACAGCCUUUAUUAAAUAAAAACUCACAAUUUACACUGAGUAUCCUGACCAGGGCUAAAAAAGAGAGAGCUCAAAUAAAUAAACAAUCAAUCCAGGAUCCAGAAACACACUGCACAGCUGCAUCAACCUGCCUCGAGGACACAGACAGAGUGAAAGAAACCACGUGACGUCAGCUGACCUGCUCCAGCAGGAUUCUUUUUUACAAACAAGAAAAACUUUAAUCAGUUAAACAAAAACGAACACUGCAGGUCAGCAGAUAACGGCUCUGUGCUGCCCGGAGGGCUGUUAACGGCAGCUAAACCUGACGAAGCAGGCACAGGAGGAAAGGGGCAGCGCAGAUUUUGAAAUCCAGAACAUAAGUUUGGAAGUGAGAAAAAAGCUUAAUUGCAGUUGUCAAGAGGUCAUCGGCAAAGGGUACAUGUAUCCGUAUCCAGUCCGUUCCGCAUCGUGAUCACCUCAGCUACCAGCAUCCACCUAGAGUGGUGUUCCAAGCAGAUUUCAGCAGGCGUCGCGGCAAAUAAGAACAGGACUACCAGACAGGUCGCAACUAGAUGGGUGUGAAAUUACAGGCGAUAUGUGUCAAGGGGUAUAUCUCUCAGCCAGUGAUCCAAUCAGGAUUGAAGUACUCCAGUCGCUAUGACGAUAAUCCACAGAACAAGGAGAAUAGCGCUGAGUGAAGUGGCUGCAAUGUUUAAAGAACCUGCCAAGGAACCAUAUCUGGAUGCCUCUCUUCUGUUUCCAACCAACUUCUGAUCCCGAGACUGCAGAGACAGACAAUGACAGAAGAUGUUAGAAAAAGUUAUCAUAUCAAGCACAAAUAAAACAUUAAUGGUUAUUAUACUGACAUUCAGCAGCCAUUCUAUUGGUGUAAAAUAAAAUUGUUCCCUGUAA